rnacentral:rRNA from 1 species
GACGAACGCUGGCGGCGUGCCUAAUACAUGCAAGUUGAGCGAUGAAGAUUGGUGCUUGCACCAAUUUGAAGAGCAGCGAACGGGUGAGUAACGCGUGGGGAAUCUGCCUUUGAGCGGGGGACAACAUUUGGAAACGAAUGCUAAUACCGCAUAACAACUUUAAACGUAAGUUUUAAGUUUGAAAGAUGCAAUUGCAUCACUCAAAGAUGAUCCCGCGUUGUAUUAGCUAGUUGGUGAGGUAAAGGCUCACCAAGGCGAUGAUACAUAGCCGACCUGAGAGGGUGAUCGGCCAAAUUGGGACUGAGACAAGGCCCAAACUCCUACGGGGGGGAGCAGGAGGGAAGCUUCGGCAAUGGACGAAAGGCUGACCGAGCAACGCCGCGUGAGGGAAGAAGGGUUUCGGAUCGUAAAACUCUGUUGGUAGAGAAGAACGUUGGUGAGAGUGGAAAGCUCAUCAAGUGACGGUAACUACCCAGAAAGGGACGGCUAACUACGUG